rnacentral:lncRNA from 1 species
GUGAGACAGAAAGAAUGUGUGUAAUGGAAACGGGACAGAGAGAGAAAGAAAACAGGGAAAGAAAUGAGAAAGCCUUGCCAAGGAGGGAGGGCAAAAGGAAGAGGACAGUAAUGAAAAUUAAAAGGAAAAGAAAAAAUUGUGGGGGGGACGGGAGAUGGGUUGUGUGGGUAAAGUUCCUCACACCAAGAUUCAGACAACUUCUCAUCAGGGUGAUAAAACCAAACCCCUUUAUGAUUGAAAAAAAUAUUCAUAUUCUUAAAGACAAUCCGAUAUCCUUUCCUUUGUAGGAAUUGAUGCAUGUUUUCUGUGAAUGAGAAGAUUUAGAGAAGCCUUGCCGAGGAUGAUUGAGGGAGAUGGAUGAAAAUGAGUCCACGUCAGAGGGUCUCAAACGGCACUGACCUUCAUUCUACCAGAAGUGGACCGGUGACGAGGCCUGUGGAAGAAAAGAAAAUGAAGUCCACAAUACCAAGAAGAAAAACCGCUGUUAUUAAAGCUUUCAGCAAAACCAGACAAAGUGAAGAGUAUGGGGCAUGCAAUGUAUCUCAAAAUGCAGUGCUGUUGAUGGAAGCCCAUGCUCACCUUUCCAUCGGCUUGCAGUCAAGAGAGAGACUUCUGCUGCUUUUCACAGAUUCGCUCAUCAUCGCCAAAACUAAGUAUGUUUCAGUGGGUGUGAAUAUGUCUAUUAAUAUGUACGAAAUGUAAGACAUCUGUCUCUCUAAGAGUGGAUGUGUAUGCAUUGUGUGUGUUUCAUGUUACAGGUCUCUGUAUCUAAAGCUGAAGGCUCGUGUUAGCCUCUCGGACAUAUGGCUGGCAUCAUGUGUCCACUGCAUCACAGACAGAAAGCUCGCCUCCAAGAACUCAUUUGUGAUUGGCUGGCCG